GGGGCAGACGACGGAUGCCUCGGUGGUGGGUGCCGACGACGGACGUGGCACUGCAACGAUAUGCGUGGGGGAGCCGCUAGCAGGCCUUGAGCCCACGAUCUCCUAAUGGGGCAACCCGCUCAUCCUUGAUGAGCACCACGCUUUGCGUGGAGGGCACCGGGCCAACUGAAACAUCUCACGUAGCCCGAGGAACAGAUAGCAUCCCCGUAGUAGCGGCGAGCGAACCGGGAAACGCCCAAACCAUCCUGGUGCCAAGGCGGCAGCCCUUGCCACGAUGGGGUUGUAGGACAUCAACGUCACCUCUGCCGAGGUGGCCGCGCUAGCGCUUGUGCGACCCGAAGGCGUUUGGAAGACGCCGCCAUAGACCGUGAGAGCCGGGUAGGGAAAGUUCAAGCGCGCGUGCUGGUGCUCCUGAGUACGGCCGGGCACGAAGUACCCGGUCGGAAGCUGGGGGGACCACCUCCCAAGGCUUAUUACACCCACCAACCGAUAGCGCACAGUACCGUGAGGGAACGGUGAAAAGCACCCCGGCGAGGGGAGUGAAAUAGACCCUGAAAUCGUCUGCCUACAUGCAGUCGGAGCCCUGAGCUUGUCGAAGGGUGACGGCGUGCCUUUUGGAGUAUGACCCGACGAGUUAUCCUGCGUCGCAGGGUUAAGGCAGUCUCAGCCGCAGCCGUAGCGAACGCGUGCCUGAACAGGGCAAGGUGGCGCGGGAUAGACCCGAAACCGUGUGAGCUUACCAUGCGCAGGCUGAAGCGCCCCUAAUCGGGCGUGGAGGGCCGCACCGUUGUGGGUUACAAACCGCUCGGAUGACGUGUGGUAAGGGGUGAAAUGCCAAUCGAACACGGAGAUAGCUGGUUCUCCCCGAAAUGCAUUGAGGUGCAGCCCGGGUAUAGGAGCGCUGGCGGAGGUAGAGCGCUGUUGUCCUGCGGGGGUGUCACAGCCUACCAACGGACGGCAAACUGCGAAUGCCGCUAGCGCGCCCCCGGAGUGAGACGGCCGGUGCCAACGUCGGUCGUCGAGAGGGCAACAACCCAGACCAGCCGCUAAGGUCCCCCAGUCCAUGCUCAGUGCGAAAGGCAGUCGGGCCGCUGUGACAACCAGGAGGUUGGCUUAGAAGCAGCCACCCUUGAAAGAGUGCGUAACAGCUCACUGGUCGAGUGGUCGGGCGCCGACAAUGUAGCGGGACUUAAGCAUGGCACCGACGCGCUGGAUGGAGUCGCUGAUGGUGACUCCGUGGUAGGGGAGCGUCGACACUGCAUCGAAGCGGCCGCGUAAGCGUGCCGUGGAGCGCUGUCGAGUGCGAAUGUCGGGAUGAGUAACGUACAAGGGGGGUGCGAACCCCCCCCACCGUAAGCCUGAGGGUUCCGCCGCACGGGUGAUCCGCGGCGGGUUAGUCGGGCCUAAGGCGUACCCGCGUGGGAAAGCCGAUGGACAACGGGUAGACAGUCCCGUACCAGGAACGGUCGUUUGACUGAUGCGGAAACCAGCACGGUAGGAGGUGGGGCGAGACGAGCGCCCUGCAAGCCGGUAGGGAGACGGGGGCGGCAAAUCCCCUCCGUCGCUGACCGAGAGGUGAUGCGCAGGCUCACUGGCAACAGCGGGCCGAUCCCUUUGAACCGCCACUGGCACGAAACGCCGCUAGGAAGACCCCGUUCUGCCCGUACCGCAAACCGACCCAGGUAGGCUGGUCGAGCAGACCAAGGUGGACGAGCGAACCUUCGCUAAGGAACUCGGCAAAUUGACCCCGUACCUUCGGAAGAAGGGGUGCUGCGCACGCGUGAAGCCGCUGGCCGGUGGAGCGUGGGGCAGCCGCAGGGUCCAGGCCCAGGCGACUGGAUAUCAGAACCACAGGUCCCUGCAAAGUCGCAAGACGCCGCAUAGGGGCUGAUGCCUGCCCAGUGCCGGAAGGUUAAGGGGAGGGGUGAAAGCUCCGAACCGAAGCCCCGGUUAACGGCGGCUGUAACUAUAACAGUCCUAAGGUAGCGAAAUUCCUUGUCGGGUAAGUUCCGACCCGCACGAAAGGCAUCACGAUCUGGGCACUGUCUCAGCGAGGGGCUCGGUGAAAUUGCAGGGCCGGUGAAGAUGCCGGCAACCCACAGCAGGACAAAAAGACCCCAUGGAGCUUUACUACACCUUGCCAUCGGCGCGAUGCGCCGGAUGCGUAGGAUAGGUGGGAGGCGGAGAACCGGCCCUCGCGGGGGUUGGCGAGCCGACGGUGAAAUACCACUCUUCCUGUGCGUCGCGCCUCACCCGCCGAGAGCGGGGACGGUGGCUGGGGGGUAGUUUGACUGGGGCGGUCGCCUCCCAAAAAGUACCGGAGGCGCGCAACGGUCCCCUCAGGUGGGAUGGUCACCCACUGCUGAGUGCAACGGCACAAGGGGGCUCGACUGCGAGACACACAGGUCGCGCAGGGACGAAAGUCGGCCGUAGUGAUCCCACGGUUCCGGGUGGAAGGGCCGUGGCGUAACGGAUAAAAGCUACCCUGGGGAUAACAGGCUGAUCCUCCCCAAGAGUUCAUAUCGACGGGAGGGUUUGGCACCUCGAUGUCGGCUCGUCACAUCCUGGGGCUGGAGUCGGUCCCAAGGGUUCGGCUGUUCGCCGAUGAAAGUGGCACGCGAGCUGGGUUCAGAACGUCGUGAGACAGUUCGGUCUCUAUCCGCUGUGGGCGCUUAGAGGGAUGCGUGGAGCUGGCCCUAGUACGAGAGGACCGGGCUGGACGGACCGCUGGUGGACCAGUUGUCGGGCGACCGGCACGGCUGGGUAGCUACGUCCGGGAGCGAGAACCGCUGAAAGCAUCUAAGUGGGAAGCGCGCCGCAAGAUGAUCCCUCUCACUGCUCUAGGCAGGUAAGGCCGCCCGAAGAAUACGGGCUUAGUGGCCGGCAGGUGGAGGCGCAGCGAUGCGUGCAGCCGAGCCGUGCCCAUGGCCGAGGGCUUGCCGG
rnacentral:rRNA from 1 species